AGAGUUUGAUUAUGGCUCAGGAUGAACGCUAGCGACAGGCUUAACACAUGCAAGUCGAGGGGCAGCGCGGAGGUAGCAAUACCUUGGCGGCGACCGGCGCACUGGUGAGUAACACGUAUGCGACCUGCCCCGGACAGGGGGAUAAACCCGGGAAACUGGGCCUAAUACCCCCAUAUGCCUGGAGGAUGCAUGUCCUCUGGGUGAAAGAUCCGUCGGUCCGGGAUGGGCAUGCGGCGCAUUAGCUUGUUGGCGGGGCAACGGCCCACCAAGGCGACGAUGCGUAGGGGUUCUGAGAGGAAGGUCCCCCACACUGGUACUGAGACACGGACCAGACUCCUACGGGAGGCAGCAGUGAGGAAUAUUGGUCAAUGGACGAUGGUCUGAACCAGCCCAAGUCGCGUGCGGGAUGAAGGCCCUCCGGGUCGUAAACCGCUUUAGCCGGGGAGUAACGUGGGGACGCGUCCCUCAGUGAGAGUACCCGGAGAAUAAGCAUCGGCUAACUCCGUGCCAGCCGCGGC
rnacentral:rRNA from 1 species